rnacentral:rRNA from 1 species
GAUGAACGCUAGCGGGAGGCUUAACACAUGCAAGUCGUGGGGCAGCACGGUGUAGCAAUACACUGGUGGCGACCGGCGCACAGGUGAGUAACGCGUAUGCAACCUGCCCUGUACAGGGGGAUAGCCCGGAGAAAUUCGGAUUAAUACCCCAUAAAGAUAUCGAGAGGCAUCUUUUGAUAUUUAAAGCUUCGGCGGUACGGGAUGGGCAUGCGUGACAUUAGCUAGUUGGUAGGGUAACGGCCUACCAAGGCUUCGAUGUCUAGGGGUCCUGAGAGGGUGAUCCCCCACACUGGUACUGAGACACGGACCAGACUCCUACGGGAGGCAGCAGUGAGGAAUAUUGGUCAAUGGGCGACAGCCUGAACCAGCCAUCCCGCGUGAAGGAAGAAGGCGCUAUGCGUUGUAAACUUCUUCUCCAGAGGAAUAAAAUUUCGUACGUGUACGGAACUGAAGGUACCCUGGGAAUAAGCAUCGGCUAACUCCGUGCCAGCCGCCGCGGUAACAC